rnacentral:ncRNA from 1 species
AAACAGAUUUACGGUGAGAAGUCAGCCGAGGCUAUAGUACAGAGGGAUCGACACCUUCUGGAAGGGC